rnacentral:rRNA from 1 species
GGUACGCGAGCUGGGUUCAGAACGUCGUGAGACAGUUCGGUCCCUAUCCGUCGCAGGCGUAGGAAAUUUGAGAAGACCUGUCCUUAGUACGAGAGGACCGGGAUGGACGUACCUCUGGUGUACCAGUUGUCCUGCCAAGGGCAUGGCUGGGUAGCUAUGUACGGAAUGGAUAAGCGCUGAAAGCAUCUAAGCGCGAAGCCAACUUCAAGAUAAGAUUUCCCACCGCAAGGGUAAGACCCCAGAAAGACUAUCUGGUUGAUAGGUCGAAGGUGUAAGUGCAGCAAUGUAUUUAGCUUAUCGAUACUAAUAGGUCGAGGACUUGACCAAU